UACGGAGGGGACUAGCGUUGUUCGGAAUUACUGGGCGUAAAGCGCACGUAGGCGGAUUUGUAAGUCAGGGGUGAAAUCCCGGGGCUCAACCUCGGAACUGCCUUUGAUACUGCAAAUCUCGAGUCCGGAAGAGGUGAGUGGAAUUCCUAGUGUAGAGGUGAAAUUCGUAGAUAUUAGGAAGAACACCAGUGGCGAAGGCGAGUCCCUGGACAAUACCUGACACUGAGGCACGAAAGCCAAGGGAGCAAACAGG
rnacentral:rRNA from 1 species